rnacentral:tRNA from 1 species
UUGGCCGAGUGGUUAAGGCGUGUGCCUGCUACGUACAUGGGGUUUCCUUGCAAGAGUUCGAAUCUCUCA